GACGAACGCUGGCGGCGUGCUUAACACAUGCAAGUGGUGCGACGAACCAGGGCUUGCCCUGGGGCAAAGCCGCGAACGGGUGAGUAACACGUGGGUAACCUGCCCCGAUGACCGGGACAACCCGAGGAAACUCGGGCUAAUACCGGAUGUGGUGCAUUGGCAUCAGCCUUUGUACUAAAGGAAGCUUCGGCCUCCGCAUUGGGAGGGGCCCGCGGCCCAUUAGCUUGUUGGUGGGGUAACGGCCUACCAAGGCAACGAUGGGUAGCUGGUCUGAGAGGACGAUCAGCCACACUGGGACUGAGACACGGCCCAGACUCCUACGGGAGGCUG
rnacentral:rRNA from 1 species